UUGAAAGAAACCUCAGGCAGGGGGAGAUGGUUGUAGCUGGCCUCUAGGGGCAUGUGCACACUGUGUCUCUCUUGCUUGUUUCUUCAUUCUCUCCACUUGUGCACUGCUUGUAGGCAGCCCUGGCAUUGUUCAGGCUGUCUAUGAUUUUAUUUACAUACAUGAACAAUUGUUGUACAGAAUGUGAUUAAAAAUAGUAAU
rnacentral:rRNA from 1 species